rnacentral:rRNA from 1 species
GACAGAGGAUGCAAGCGUUAUCCGGAAUGAUUGGGCGUAAAGCGUCUGUAGGUGGCUUUUUAAGUCCGCCGUCAAAUCCCGAGGCUCAACCCUGGACAGGCGGUGGAAACUACCAAGCUGGAGUACGGUAGGGGCAGAGGGAAUUUCCGGUGGAGCGGUGAAAUGCGUAGAUAUCGGAAGGAACACCGGUGGCGAAAGCGGCGCGCUGGAUCCCUACUGACGCUGAGGCACGAAAGCCAGGGGAGCAAACGGG